rnacentral:rRNA from 1 species
AGUGAACGCUGGCGGUAGGCCUAACACAUGCAAGUCGAACGGCAGCACAGUAAGAGCUUGCUCUUACGGGUGGCGAGUGGCGGACGGGUGAGGAAUACAUCGGAAUCUACUUUUUCGUGGGGGAUAACGUAGGGAAACUUACGCUAAUACCGCAUACGACCUACGGGUGAAAGCAGGGGAUCUUCGGACCUUGCGCGAUUGAAUGAGCCGAUGUCGGAUUAGCUAGUUGGCGGGGUAAAGGCCCACCAAGGCGACGAUCCGUAGCUGGUCUGAGAGAAUGAUCAGCCACACUGGAACUGAGACACGGUCCAGACUCCUCCGGGAGGCAGCAGUGGGGAAUAUUGGACGAUGGGCGCAAGCCUGAUCCAGCCAUACCGCGUGGGUGAAGAAGGCCUUCGGGUUGUAAAGCCCUUUUGUUGGGAAAGAAAAGCAGCAGGUUAAUACCCCGCUGUUCUGACGGUACCCAAGGAAUAAGCACCGGCUAACUUCGUG